rnacentral:lncRNA from 1 species
GUGGUCUAAUGAACUUAAAAGUUUGUUUUUGCCUUUUAGCAAUUCACUAUGCUGUUGAAUAUUAAUCCUCUCAAAAAAAUGUUUGAAGAAAUUUUCUUUUUAUUUAUGAAAUCUGAAAUGAGAAAAAUUUAACCCCCCCCCUUUUUUCACAUCCCUGUUUCCUUUUUUCCAAAACUGAUAUCAAUUCAAAUUUCUAAUGGAGUUUGCAACAAUAACUACUCUUUUAAAUACAUCAUAAAAUAUUAAAAU